rnacentral:rRNA from 1 species
AUUGAACGCUGGCGGCAGGCCUAACACAUGCAAGUCGAGCGGAUGAAGGGAGCUUGCUCCUGGAUUCAGCGGCGGACGGGUGAGUAAUGCCUAGGAAUCUGCCUGGUAGUGGGGGAUAACGUCCGGAAACGGGCGCUAAUACCGCAUACGUCCUGAGGGAGAAAGUGGGGGAUCUUCGGACCUCACGCCAUCAGAUGAGCCUAGGUCGGAUUAGCUAGUUGGUGGGGUAAAGGCCUACCAAGGCGACGAUCCGUAACUGGUCUGAGAGGAUGAUCAGUCACACUGGAACUGAGACACGGUCCAGACUCCUACGGGAGGCAGCAGUGGGGAAUAUUUGACAAUGGGCGAAAGCCUGAUCCAGCCAUGCCGCGUGUGUGAAGAAGGUCUUCGGAUUGUAAAGCACUUUAAGUUGGGAGGAAGGGCAGUAAGUUAAUACCUUGCUGUUUUGACGUUACCAACAGAAUAAGCACCGGCUAACUUCGUG